GUGCUCACUUCAGCACCGACAGUAAAACUGGAACGAUGCCGAGAAGACGAGCAUGGCCUCCGGCAAGGAGGACACUCAAGUUCAGGAAACGGUCCAUAUUUUU